UACGGAGGGUGCAAGCGUUGUUCGGAAUCAUUGGGCGUAAAGCGCGUGUAGGCGGCUUGGCAAGUCAGUUGUGAAAGCCCGGGGCCCAACCCCGGAAUUGCAUCUGAAACUGCCUGGCUAGAGUCCCGGAGAGGAAGGCAGAAUUCCCGGUGUAGGGGUAAAAUCCGUAGAUAUCGGGAGGAAUACCAGCGGCGAAGGCGGCCUUCUGGACGGUGACUGACGCUGAGACGCGAAAGCGUGGGGAGCAAACAGG
rnacentral:rRNA from 1 species